rfam:Steinernema glaseri strain NC unplaced genomic scaffold GLAS_6309, whole genome shotgun sequence.
GCUUACGAUCAUACCACGCUGAGAAUACGCGAACUCGUCAGAUCUCGCAAGUCAAGCAGCGUCGGGUACGCGAACUCGUCAGAUCUCGCAAGUCAAGCAGCGUCGGGCCUGGUCAGUACUUGGAUCGGAGACGGCUUGGGAAUCCCAGGUGUCGUAAGCU